AUGUCCGCACGCUGUGGUUGUGGGCUGGAGUGGUCAACGCGGGGAGCAAUGGCGGCCCCGUCGUCGUGGUUGCUCCUGCUCUGUCUCGCCGGCGGCGUGCUUCAUGCCGGCGCCCAGAGAGCACCCGACACCACGGGUUUCGUCAGCGUCGACUGCGGCCUCUCGGAGCACAGCGGCUACGUGGACGACGCCACCAAGCUGCCCUACAGCUCGGACGCCGGCUUCACCGACACCGGCCAGAACUACAACGUCUCGGCACAGUACAACGACCAGGCGCUCCUCAGACGGCACCGGCAGCUCCUCACUGUCCGCAGCUUCCCCGGCCCGCCGGGGCGGCGGGGCUGCUACACCCUCCCGUCCUUCGAGGCCGGGACGUCCAAGUACCUUGUCCGGGCCACCUUCAUGUACGGCAACUACGACGAGCUCAACAAGCCCCCCGCCUUGGACCUCUACCUCGGCGUCAACUUCUGGAAGACGGUCAACAUCUCCAGGCCUGACGCAGUGCACACCGCCGAGGUCAUCGCCGUCAUCCCGGUCGACGCGGCGCAUGUCUGCCUGGUGAACACCAACUCCGGGACGCCCUUCAUCUCGUCGCUGGUGAACACGAUGUAUCCGCUGGUGAACUGGACACAGGGGCUGGUCCUCAUCGGCAGGCGCAACUCCGGCGCCACAGAGUUGAUUAGCCGGAGACGGAAACGACAGAUGGCAUGA
rnacentral:rRNA from 1 species